AUUCCAGCUCCAAUAGCGUACAUUAAAGUUGUUGCAGUUAAAAAGCUCGUAGUUGGAUUUCUGGUGUCGCAGUGCUUCCGCGUGUUUAAUUACAUGUCGAGUUGUGUUUGCGUCGCCAUCUUUUAGCAGCACCUUCCUGGCAUUAGGUUGUUGGGUUGGUAAUGCUAAUCAUUUACUUUGAAGAAAUUAGAGUGUUCAAAGCAAGCUUACGCUGUGAAUAUAUUAGCAUGGAAUAAUAACAUAGGACUCGGGUUCUAUUUUGUUGGUUUCUAGGACUCAAGUAAUGAUUGAUAGGGACAGUUGGGGGUGCUGCUAUUAUAUGGCCAGAGGUGAAAUUCACGGAUUCAUAUAAGAGCAACUUAUGCGAAAGCAUUCACCAAGGAUGUCUUCAUCA
rnacentral:rRNA from 1 species